GCAUCCGUGGUGCAGUGGUAGUAGCAUGCACCCCCGCUAUGGAUGAAACCCGGGUUCGAUUCCUGCCUGAGGCC